GGAAAGGCGCGCGAUACAGGGUGACAGCCCCGUACACAAAAAUGCACAUGCUGUGAGCUCGAUGAGUAGGGCGGGACACGUGGUAUCCUGUCUGAAUAUGGGGGGACCAUCCUCCAAGGCUAAAUACUCCUGACUGACCGAUAGUGAACCAGUACCGUGAGGGAAAGGCGAAAAGAACCCCGGCGAGGGGAGUGAAAAAGAACCUGAAACCGUGUACGUACAAGCAGUGGGAGCACGCUUAGGCGUGUGACUGCGUACCUUUUGUAUAAUGGGUCAGCGACUUAUAUUCUGUAGCAAGGUUAACCGAAUAGGGGAGCCGAAGGGAAACCGAGUCUUAACUGGGCGUUAAGUUGCAGGGUAUAGACCCGAAACCCGGUGAUCUAGCCAUGGGCAGGUUGAAGGUUGGGUAACACUAACUGGAGGACCGAACCGACUAAUGUUGAAAAAUUAGCGGAUGACUUGUGGCUGGGGGUGAAAGGCCAAUCAAACCGGGAGAUAGCUGGUUCUCCCCGAAAGCUAUUUAGGUAGCGCCUCGUGAAUUCAUCUCCGGGGGUAGAGCACUGUUUCGGCAAGGGGGUCAUCCCGACUUACCAACCCGAUGCAAACUGCGAAUACCGGAGAAUGUUAUCACGGGAGACACACGGCGGGUGCUAACGUCCGUCGUGAAGAGGGAAACAACCCAGACCGCCAGCUAAGGUCCCAAAGUCAUGGUUAAGUGGGAAACGAUGUGGGAAGGCCCAGACAGCCAGGAUGUUGGCUUAGAAGCAGCCAUCAUUUAAAGAAAGCGUAAUAGCUCACUGGUCGAGUCGGCCUGCGCGGAAGAUGUAACGGGGCUAAACCAUGCACCGAAGCUGCGGCAGCGACGCUGAUGCGUUGUUGGGUAGGGGAGCGUUCUGUAAGCCUGUGAAGGUGUGCUGUGAGGCAUGCUGGAGGUAUCAGAAGUGCGAAUGCUGACAUAAGUAACGAUAAAGCGGGUGAAAAGCCCGCUCGCCGGAAGACCAAGGGUUCCUGUCCAACGUUAAUCGGGGCAGGGUGAGUCGACCCCUAAGGCGAGGCCGAAAGGCGUAGUCGAUGGGAAACAGGUUAAUAUUCCUGUACUUGGUGUUACUGCGAAGGGGGGACGGAGAAGGCUAUGUUGGCCGGGCGACGGUUGUCCCGGUUUAAGCGUGUAGGCUGGUUUUCCAGGCAAAUCCGGAAAAUCAAGGCUGAGGCGUGAUGACGAGGCACUACGGUGCUGAAGCAACAAAUGCCCUGCUUCCAGGAAAAGCCUCUAAGCAUCAGGUAACAUCAAAUCGUACCCCAAACCGACACAGGUGGUCAGGUAGAGAAUACCAAGGCGCUUGAGAGAACUCGGGUGAAGGAACUAGGCAAAAUGGUGCCGUAACUUCGGGAGAAGGCACGCUGAUAUGUAGGUGAAGCGACUUGCUCGUGGAGCUGAAAUCAGUCGAAGAUACCAGCUGGCUGCAACUGUUUAUUAAAAACACAGCACUGUGCAAACACGAAAGUGGACGUAUACGGUGUGACGCCUGCCCGGUGCCGGAAGGUUAAUUGAUGGGGUCAGCGCAAGCGAAGCUCUUGAUCGAAGCCCCGGUAAACGGCGGCCGUAACUAUAACGGUCCUAAGGUAGCGAAAUUCCUUGUCGGGUAAGUUCCGACCUGCACGAAUGGCGUAAUGAUGGCCAGGCUGUCUCCACCCGAGACUCAGUGAAAUUGAACUCGCUGUGAAGAUGCAGUGUACCCGCGGCAAGACGGAAAGACCCCGUGAACCUUUACUAUAGCUUGACACUGAACAUUGAGCCUUGAUGUGUAGGAUAGGUGGGAGGCUUUGAAGUGUGGACGCCAGUCUGCAUGGAGCCGACCUUGAAAUACCACCCUUUAAUGUUUGAUGUUCUAACGUGGACCCGUGAUCCGGGUUGCGGACAGUGUCUGGUGGGUAGUUUGACUGGGGCGGUCUCCUCCUAAAGAGUAACGGAGGAGCACGAAGGUUGGCUAAUCCUGGUCGGACAUCAGGAGGUUAGUGCAAUGGCAUAAGCCAGCUUGACUGCGAGCGUGACGGCGCGAGCAGGUGCGAAAGCAGGUCAUAGUGAUCCGGUGGUUCUGAAUGGAAGGGCCAUCGCUCAACGGAUAAAAGGUACUCCGGGGAUAACAGGCUGAUACCGCCCAAGAGUUCAUAUCGACGGCGGUGUUUGGCACCUCGAUGUCGGCUCAUCACAUCCUGGGGCUGAAGUAGGUCCCAAGGGUAUGGCUGUUCGCCAUUUAAAGUGGUACGCGAGCUGGGUUUAGAACGUCGUGAGACAGUUCGGUCCCUA
rnacentral:rRNA from 1 species